CCAGACUCCUACGGGAGGCAGCAGUAGGGAAUUUUCGUCAAUGGGCGCAAGCCUGAACGAGCGAUGCCGCGUGAGUGAAGAAGGCCUUCGGGUCGUAAAGCUCUGUUGCGGGGGAAAAAAGGCAGCAUCAGGAAAUGGGUGCUGACUGAUGGUGCCCCGCCAGAAAGUCACGGCUAACUACGUGCCAGCAGCCGCGGUAAUACGUAGGUGGCGAGCGUUAUCCGGAAUGAUUGGGCGUAAAGGGUGCGCAGGCGGUCCUGCAAGUCUGGGGUGAAACGCAUGGGCUCAACUCAUGCAUGGCUUUGGAAACUGGAGGACUGGAGAGCAGGAGAGGGCGGUGGAACUCCAUGUGUAGCGGUAAAAUGCGUAGAUAUAUGGAAGAACACCAGUGGCGAAGGCGACUUUCUGGACUGUACCUGACGCUGAGGCGCGAAAGCGUGGGUAGCGAACGGGAUUAGAUACCCCCGUACA
rnacentral:rRNA from 1 species